GACGAACGCUGGCGGCGUGCUUAACACAUGCAAGUCGAACGAAGAGCGAUGGACGCUUGCUUCUAUCAAUCUUGUUGCGAACGGGUGAGUAACCCGUAAUCAACCUGCCCUUCAGCGGGGGACAACAGUUGGAAACGACUUCUAAUACCGCAUACGUUCUAAUCCCGGCAUUGCGGAUAGAUGAAAGGUUGCCUCUACAUUUAAGCUAUCACUGAAGGAGGGGAUUGCGUCUGAUUAGCUAGUUGGCGGGGUAACGGCCCACCAAGGCGAUGAUCAGUAGCCGGUCUGAGAGGAUGAACGGCCAAAUUGGGACUGAGACACGGCCCAGACUCCUACGGGAGGCAGCAGUGGGGAAUCUUCCGCAAUGGACGAAAGUCUGACGGAGCAACGCCGCGUGAGUGAUGACGGCCUUCGGGUUGUAAAGCUCUGUUAAUCGGGACGAAAGGCCUUCUUGCGAAUAGUGAGAAGGAUUGACGGUACCGGAAUAGAAAGCCACGGCUAACUACGUG
rnacentral:rRNA from 1 species